rnacentral:rRNA from 1 species
CGCUGGCGGCGUGCCUAAUACAUGCAAGUCGAGCGAACAGACGAGGAGCUUGCUCCUCUGACGUUAGCGGCGGACGGGUGAGUAACACGUGGAUAACCUACCUAUAAGACUGGGAUAACUUCGGGAAACCGGAGCUAAUACCGGAUAAUAUAUUGAACCGCAUGGUUCAAUAGUGAAAGACGGUUUUGCUGUCACUUAUAGAUGGAUCCGCGCCGCAUUAGCUAGUUGGUAAGGUAACGGCUUACCAAGGCAACGAUGCGUAGCCGACCUGAGAGGGUGAUCGGCCACACUGGAACUGAGACACGGUCCAGACUCCUACGGGAGGCAGCAGUAGGGAAUCUUCCGCAAUGGGCGAAAGCCUGACGGAGCAACGCCGCGUGAGUGAUGAAGGUCUUCGGAUCGUAAAACUCUGUUAUUAGGGAAGAACAAAUGUGUAAGUAACUAUGCACGUCUUGACGGUACCUAAUCAGAAAGCCACGGCUAACUACGU